UACGAAGGGGGGCUAGCGUUGUUCGGAAUCACUGGGCGUAAAGCGCACGUAGGCGGAUCUUUUAAAGUCAGAGGUGAAAUCCCAAGGCUCAACCUUGGAACUGCCUUUGAUACUGGGGAUCUUGAGUCCGGGAGAGGUGAGUGGAACUGCGAGUGUAGAGGUGAAAAUUCGUAGAUAUUCGCAAAGAACACCCAGUGGCGAAGGCGGCUCACUGGCCCGGUACUGACGCUGAGGGUGCGAAAAGCGUGGGGGAGCAAAACAGGG
rnacentral:rRNA from 1 species